UGACAGUUCGAGUCAGAAGCAUCCUGCAAAAUAAUGUGCUUUUGUUUAACAACUCCAAGGCAAAUAGAGAAGGGUGGUUGAAAGCUGUUGUGUGUUAUUGAUCUAGUUGCAUUUGGCGAACUUAUAAUUAAAAAUCAUUUAGGUUGGAGAUGUUCUUCAGGGAUCAUUUCUAGAUCAAGAGAAUGCCACACCUUAGUUGCAUUUGGACAAGCAUUAAGGGUCAUGAAGGAUUUAAUGCACUAAUGUCCAGAAAAAUGCAGUUUAUACUGAUGUGUAAAUAUCAAAUAGUUUCGUCCAAACAUGUAGUCAAAUAAAAAGAUACUAGCAAUUCAAGC
rnacentral:misc_RNA from 1 species